UCAGAACGAACGCUGGCGGCAGGCUUAACACAUGCAAGUCGAGCGCGCCCUUCGGGGUGAGCGGCGGACGGGUGAGUAACGCGUGGGAACGUGCCCUCUUCUGCGGGAUAGCCUCUGGAAACGGAGAGUAAUACCGCAUACGCCCUUUUGGGGAAAGAUUUAUCGGAGGAGGAUCGGCCCGCGUUGGAUUAGGUAGUUGGUGGGGUAAUGGCCUACCAAGCCGACGAUCCAUAGCUGGUUUUAGAGGAUGAUCAGCCACACUGGGACUGAGACACGGCCCAGACUCCUACGGGAGGCAGCAGUGGGGAAUCUUAGACAAUGGGGGCAACCCUGAUCUAGCCAUGCCGCGUGAGUGACGAAGGUCUUAGGAUCGUAAAGCUCUUUCGCCUGUGAAGAUAAUGACGGUAGCAGGUAAAGAAACCCCGGCUAACUCCGUGCCAGCAGCCGCGGUAAUACGGAGGGGGUUAGCGUUGUUCGGAAUUACUGGGCGUAAAGCGCACGUAGGCGGAUCGGAAAGUUGGGGGUGAAAUCCCGGGGCUCAACCCCGGAACUGCCUCCAAAACUUCCAGUCUGGAGUUCGAGAGAGGUGAGUGGAAUUCCGAGUGUAGAGGUGAAAUUCGUAGAUA
rnacentral:rRNA from 1 species